rnacentral:rRNA from 1 species
UGAUGGAUGGACCCGCGGUGCAUUAGCUAGUUGGUGAGGUAACGGCUCACCAAGGCCACGAUGCAUAGCCGACCUGAGAGGGUGAUCGGCCACAUUGGGACUGAGACACGGCCCAAACUCCUACGGGAGGCAGCAGUAGGGAAUCUUCGGCAAUGGACGAAAGUCUGACCGAGCAACGCCGCGUGAGUGAAGAAGGUUUUCGGAUCGUAAAACUCUGUUGUUAGAGAAGAACAAGGAUGAGAGUAACUGUUCAUCCCUUGACGGUAUCUAACCAGAAAGCCACGGCUAACUACGUGCCAGCAGCCGCGGUAAUACGUAGGUGGCAAGCGUUGUCCGGAUUUAUUGGGCGUAAAGCGAGCGCAGGCGGUUUCUUAAGUCUGAUGUGAAAGCCCCCGGCUCAACCGGGGAGGGUCAUUGGAAACUGGGAGACUUGAGUGCAGAAGAGGAGAGUGGAAUUCCAUGUGUAGCGGUGAAAUGCGUAGAUAUAUGGAGGAACACCAGUGGCGAAGGCGGCUCUCUGGUCUGUAACUGACGCUGAGGCUCGAAAGCGUGGGGAGCAAACAGGAUUAGAUACCCUGGUAGUCCACGCCGUAAACGAUGAGUGCUAAGUGUUGGAGGGUUUCCGCCCUUCAGUGCUGCAGCUAACGCAUUAAGCACUCCGCCUGGGGAGUACGACCGCAAGGUUGAAACUCAAAGGAAUUGACGGGGGCCCGCACAAGCGGUGGAGCAUGUGGUUUAAUUCGAAGCAACGCGAAGAACCUUACCAGGUCUUGACAUCCUUUGACCACUCUAGAGAUAGAGCUUCCCCUUCGGGGGCAAAGUGACAGGUGGUGCAUGGUUGUCGUCAGCUCGUGUCGUGAGAUGUUGGGUUAAGUCCCGCAACGAGCGCAACCCUUAUUGUUAGUUGCCAUCAUUCAGUUGGGCACUCUAGCAAGACUGCCGGUGACAAACCGGAGGAAGGUGGGGAUGACGUCAAAUCAUCAUGCCCCUUAUGACCUGGGCUACACACGUGCUACAAUGGGAAGUACAACGAGUUGCGAAGUCGCGAGGCUAAGCUAAUCUCUUAAAGCUUCUCUCAGUUCGGAUUGCAGGCUGCAACUCGCCUGCAUGAAGCCGGAAUCGCUAGUAAUCGCGGAUCAGCACGCCGCGGUGAAUACGUUCCCGGGCCUUGUACACACCGCCCGUCACACCACGAGAGUUUGUAACACCCGAAGUCGGUGAGGUAACCUUUUUGGAGCCAGCCGCCUAAGGUGGGAUAGAUGAUUGGGGUGAAGUCGUAACAAGGUAGCCGUAUCGGAAGGUGCGGCUG